AUGCUUUGUUUCUCUGUAGAGCCGGAGUAACGCACGACUUUGGAUUGUGUUUUAUCAUCACUGUUCAUGGUAACCAGGAGAUCAUCAGAGGCGGUACGGCAGACACCGAGAGGUCUCCACCCCUGUAGUGUGAUCACGGUCUUUGUGUGAAGGCACGUAUACGUUUGAAAAUACCCGACCCAUUCUACCAAGCAAAUUGAAAGGAAUCUCAUUUGUGGAUGUGUAUUCAACACUCAUUGAAGAGUAGGAAGACCUACCUGAACAAUAUUUCCUCUACAUAUAUCAUCGAAUGCACUUGGUCACGUGGGAUAGUGUGAUGAUCUUGAGCAGUGAAAUCUUGUCAAUAAAAGUUGUCUUUUCGAGAAUAAAUGAAAUGUAAUUGCAU